rnacentral:tRNA from 1 species
AAGGUCUUAGCUUAAUUAAAGCGUCUGGGUUGCAUUCAGGAGAUGCAGAGUAAUGUUCUGCAGGUCUUA